UAGAACUGUAGAUCUAUUCCAGGGAUGAUAACUGUCCAUCCAUCCAUUUUCCAUACCGCUUAUCCUACACAGGGUCACAGGGGAACCUGGAGUCAGCCCACAAUCACGCCCUACAGACAAUUUGGAAGAAGUGAUAAUCAGCCUACAAAGCAUGCCUUUGGACUGGGAGAGGAAACCAAAGUACCCGGAGGAAACCCCUGAAGCACAGGGAGAACAUGCAAGCUCUACUCACACAGGGCGGAGGUGGGAUUCGAACCCCCAGACAUGCUAACCACUAAGCCACCAUGUUCCCCUAGGCUACAGUGGGAUACGACGGCCUACUUUCUUCACAGAUCUUACAUAACAGCCUGACGAUCCAUCCGUCUCUGCACGCAUCUCUGCUUACCUGUCGGACAUCUCGGUCUGGAUGAGGGAACACCACCUUAAGCUCAAUCCGGCAAAAUCUGAGCUUCUCGUCAUCCCAGCCUGCCCCUCAAUCAACCACAACCUCACUGUACAGCUCGGCUCAACCACACUCAAGCCAACCAGGAAGGCCAGGGACCUUGGGGUGAUUCUUGAUGACAGCUUGACCUUUACAGACCACAUCUCAACAACUGCACGGUCCUGUAGGUUCAUUCGGUACAACAUCAAGGAAAUCAGACCUUGUCUCACCGAACAGGCCACACAGCUACUAGUUCAGGCUCUUGUCAUAUCAAAACUGGACUACUGCAGCGCACUACUCUCGGGCGUCCCAGCCAGCUCCAUCAAACCCCUUCAGAUGAUUCAG
ensembl:lncRNA